UGACUCUUCAAGGAGUAGUGGAGGCCAAGGCCUUGCACCAGUAACCUCUGCUCAGAAAGCUGAGCUGACUGCAUUGACAAGGGCACUGGAAUUGUCUCAUGGAAAGAGAGUGAAUGUGUGUAUCAACUCAAGGUCCUGGAAUUUCUAAAGCCGUAAGAAAAGUAGUUGCUAGAUGUGUUAUGUGCCAGGAGAACAACCCCAAAACAGAACCCCAUCAAAGGAAAAAGAAA